ensembl:lncRNA novel transcript, antisense to CACNA1D
AACUGGGAAGAAAACUCGGUUACAUAUCUAAGGCUCCCAAACAAAAAGACAAGGUUUAAGACACCUGCUGCUGCUUCCACAAAAUAAACAUAGGUUAUAAUGCACUUAAGUCAACACCCCCAAGUAAAUUUGGUACAUUAAUCCAUAUUACAAGGCAGUAAAGGCCAGAAAUGCUCCCAAGUUUAAACAACAUAUAAUCCUAUUUACUGUCAUUCAACUGAUUGGACUAGGUCUGAUUAAAAGAAAUAGAAAACUA